AAGUAAUAAGCAUCAAAUGCUCAUUAUAAACCCAUCCGCGUAUCUUACCCGUUGCUUCCGUGGCGCGUGACCGCCCUGGCGGUCCCCCACGGGAGGUACACAUCAAAAACCUUGCAUUGCCAUGGUGUCAGUCUGAAAUGUAAACAACAAAAGUUA
rnacentral:misc_RNA from 1 species